UGAAAGUCAUUUGUGAUUGAGACUCCCAAUGAGAUCAAAGGGGUUCUCAUGUGCACCGAUUUCAGGAAGCAUUUAACAAGUAUUUAUUGAGUGGCUCCUGUGUCCUAGUCAUGGUUUAUCCAUAUGUACAUUUUGGUACGUGAAAAAUCUACCUGAUAAAAGCAAUCAAAGACAGAUGUCAGCUAAAUCGAGGUGCUUAAAUUUCUUUGUGUUCCAGCUAAUGGGCAGUGUGAUGUGGUGGAAACUGUCCCGGUAGGAAAAACCUAGCUGUGGGCCUUGUGCACAUCCCUUCCUUCAUCUACAAUCUCAGGGCAUUGGCCUGAUAAUCUGGAAAAUCUCUGCCCAUAUUCUAUAAUUCUACUGCAGUCCAGAAUGCAUAAUUCUGCCACACGUCAAAAGACUACAAGAAAGAAUUUGUAAUUAAUGGACAACUGUGGGAUAUUUGUUUCCCUUCUGCAUUAGAAAUAUAAUCAAAGAUUCUACAUUUUAGGAGAGAGAGAGUCUGGCUGGCAAAGUUUGCCUCAGCCAAGUGCCUGCCCCUUUGAUGUAUCCACGCAGUGAGGGUCGGAAUCUGGCCACUGGAGCCUGGAGGAGACGCCUGAGCUUCCACAGCAAAAGAGCAGGUGGACAUAAGCCAUGACAGUAAUGAGGGAGUGCAGAAAUAGCACCAGGAAGACAAAGGCUCUGGAUUCAAGGCUGCGAUUGGUGAACCAAAGCAGAAGAAGCAUCAACUAUACAACAACACAAAUCAUCAGGAACAAAUAAUUUGAUUCAUUGUGGCAGACUUACUAAAUUAAGGAAGUGAAUCAUAUUGGAAUACAGAAAAAUUCAAAGCAUUCAGAUGCACUGAAAGUUAAAUGUAAUUUUCAUAGAAUUAAAUAUGUGGUAGAUUAUUUUUAACAAUGCCAGAAUUAUGUUUUGUCUUUUACAUAAGCUUUAUUAAAACAACCCCAUAUGCAAAUCAUUAACAUGAAAUCGAUGGAGCUAUUCAGGUCUCUUUUAGGUAUGACUUCCUAGGACUCAGCUUGCAGCCAAAAUUUCCAGAAACAUUUCAUUUUAGUGACUGCUACCCAUUAUAACACUGGUAAUUAAUUCUUUUGGAGUUACUUCAGAUUAAGUUAAAUCACAUAAAAUUCAGCUCUUGAAGAAGAAUAAUGACAUUCUCAAAAAUAUACUAAUAAAUAUUGCCUCUAAAUAAGAUGACCUAAUAUCUCAAAGAUACUGUUAAUAUUAAUAUUGACAAAGGGGGAAAAUGUACUAGUAUAUAAUAACAGCUUUAAAAACCUUUAUAUAUAUAUUGUUCCCAUAAUAUUACUUAUAAGAGUUUAUCUUAAGGCAAGAUUUGGAGAUUGUCUUAGAAAAUAUUACUGGUAAUUUAUUUGCUAAACUGGAGAUUUUGUUCAUAAAUGUUUGUAGAAAAGGUCUUGAAUUCAAUAGAGAAGUUCCAUCCCUUAUUUUUAUAUUUGAGUCUCAAGAUCUUAUGGAAUAUCAAAGGACAGAAGAGCAUAUCAUCAAAUUACACGGUAGGAUAAGCAAGCACUUGCUAUAGAAGGGAUUGUGUAGGGAAGCUCUCCUCCCUCAAUUUGGGGAGUAUUUCUGUCUAUCUCUCAUUAUCUCCUUUUUCUUUUUUUUCUUUCUAUAUUCCUUUACUCAUUUCUUUCAUCUUUUUUCCUUCUUUCUAAAUGAUUUCAAAACCUAGGGAGAAUAAAAAAUUUAUAAUACUUUUUGAUUUUGAUAAGGAUGCAGAUAGGAACUACUGGUCACAAAUUAAUUAGGUUAUAUUUAAGGACUGUAAACAGAACACUGUACACAUUUCUACACUUCCAGGGAUUUGAAUUAAGGAGUAUUUGAUUCUUGGUAGAGCACUGUCUUAAACAUGAAAACUUCCUUAAGCUCACUAGGCUGAAUGUUUUGGGAAAUAAAUAUGUGUCUACUCAGUCACAGACCUGAAAAAAUGCACUAGCUAUUGUAACUUUUGUGGGAUUAGAAGAGUCUCAUAGAUUUGCCAAGUUAUCUGCUUUAAGACACAAUUAUUGUCCAGAGGUUGAGUUCUCAAAGCUUUGACAUUGGCACAUGGAAAUUUCCCUCUGAAAAAGAUAGCAAUGAGUUUACUCUGGAGUGGGUGGGUGGAUAAAGAAGUUGGGUUGAAUCCAUUGGCUAAAGGAUCUCUCUCUCUUCUUUUUUUCUCCUCUUUCUCUCCAUUUCGUCUUCCUUUUCUCUCCCACUCUCAUUUUCCCCCUACAAGUAGGUUUUAGAAUUCAUUCAGUUGUCUCAAACUAUUUUUAAGUAAAAAGCUGCAGCAUAGGAAUUCAACUCAAAAGAGCUUGGAAAUUUUGGGUGAAGGCAGGAAAUCCUGCUUGAGCCUUGGCCUCUGCUUAUGGCAAAGUUCCAGGAAGAAAUAGGAUGCUUGUAAGAGUGUUCAGCCCAGAAUACUUGGAUUUUGUAACCUUGACUGUGAUCUUGGUGGCCAUAGGAAAUUUUAAGUUAAACUCUUUGAGGAAAGACAGUGGGAAAUUAUUGUCCUUACAAUACUGAAAGUACAGGUAAAAAAAAAAAAAUCUGUCUACAGUUACAGAAUCUCUUGUGACUUUAAUUCUGGCAAUUUUAAAGAAAUGUUGGAAUUGACCCACCAAGAAGCACUUUGUGUUCAGAUAGCACUAAUAGAGAUGUGGCUUACUUCUUUCUUCUUUUUUCACUUGAACCUGGGGAUUCAGGAAACAUCAUGUUGAUCUACAGUGUUUUAUAAGUUUAUCUUGUAGUACCUAAAGUGUUACCUCUUUUGAAACACUUCCCUAAAGUGAUGCUACUGAUGUCAUCCCCUGAUGACAACAAUAAUAAUAUAGUCAUUAUGGAAACUUUGAAACAUACAGAAAUAGGUUAGAUAAAUAAAAAUGAUAAACAAAAGUCACUCAUAACUCCAGGUUGUUAAAUAAAAAGUGAGAUUUCAGCAUAUUUUCCCUCUUUGAUGUUUAGUAAGGCUUAUUUUUUCAUGAGUUUACUAUAUGUUUAUUUGCAUAUCUGUGAAAUAAUUGUCUGUUAACUUACAUUUUUCUGUUGUAUUUUGUAUUCAAAGUUUUCUCAUUGUUUUGUAAUGACUCUUUAAAUAUUAGGAAUAUUCUUUUGUGGAGAGAGACAUCAGUAAGACAGCAGAACAGAAAGUUCUCUGUUAAUAUCCCCCAACAGAAACAGUGAUUUGGCAGCUACCCAAAUGGACAAAAAUGUCUUUGUGUGAGCUUUGAGAUCCAGACUGGAGGUUUUGAAAUCGCUAUGGAGUCCACAACCAAGGAGGGCUGUUUUGAGAAGGCAGUUCUGCACCCAUGUGGCAAAUUCACUGUCCAUGGUCCAAUAUGCAGACUUUGAAACAUCAUAUUUCCCUGUGGACUCAGCUAGAGCCCCAUUUGACCUUGGUCUUCCACCGGGAUCAUUCACCAAGGGACCCAGGAGGAGUCACACUUACCUGUGCCUCUGGUAAUAAGCCCACUGAUCUCAUUCCCAGUUAUAAACUCUGAAGUGGUUCAUGAAUCAGCUCUAGGCCUUUCAGCCACGGUCUUGGAGGAGUCCUGUCCACAAAUAACCUGGCAGAAGACACACUUGUCUGUGCCCCUAGAGACAGGCUGUCUGACUGUGGAUUCUGAAACAGCCCUUUAGUUUGGCUCCAUUCCCCAUUUGCCACAGUCUUGGAGCAGUCCUGCUAACAGAGGGACCAACCAGCCAAGACUUGCAUGUCCAUGCCCAUGGAGGCAGGCCCAGCAACUUUGGACUGAGUUUAGAUCCUAAAAUGGCCUUGUGACACAGUUCCAGUCCCUCUUAGUCACAGCCUGGGGCCAGUGCUACUCAUCCAGUGGCCCACCUAGUGACCUGGUUUGAAUCAUCCCACGGAUAAGCAGGAUCCACACUCAUCCGCACACUUAGUAGCAGGCCUGCUGUCUGUGGACCCAACUGUAGGUCUGAAAAUAGAUCCUUGUCCCAGUGCCAGAUCUACUGAUCAAAGUCCUGGAAGCAGUCCAGUCCAUUCAGGGACCAGAGAGAAUCCAGUAACAGGCAUGCCAACUACAAAAUAAAAUGUAGACCCAGGAACAGCCACAAGACCUAGCUCCAACCCCACUUGACUGCAAUUUCAGAGGCAAUUCCAUCAGCCUGGGGAUCUAACAGGAGAGGGUCUUUACCUGGCAAAAAUAGUCUGUGAAGACAAGAACAGUGUUUGUUUCUUCAAAUGCAAAGACAUAGGUGCAAGAAUACAUGGAUCAUAAACAGUCAGGCCAACAUGACACCAUAAAGUAAACUAAUAAAGCUCCAGUAAUCAACCCUAAAGAAAUAGAAAUCUAUAAAUUGCCUGACAAAAAAUUCAAAACAAUCAACUAAUGAAGUUCAAUGAUAUGUAACAGAAUACAGGCAGACAAAUAAAUGAAAUCAGAAAAACAAUGCAUGAAUAAACUGAGAAGUUUAAUAAAGAAAUAUAAACAAUAAGAAAGACCUAAAGAGAAAUUCUGGAGCUGAAAUAUACAAUGAAAAAUCUGAAAAGUGCAAUAUAGAGUUUUAACUGCAGAUUUGAUCAUGCAGAAGAAAGAAUCAGUGAACUUAAAGACAGAUCAUCUGAAAUUGGCCAGCUAGAGGGACAAAAAGAAAAAAGAAUGAAAGAGAAUAAAUAAAACAUAUGAGAUCUAUGGAACACCAUCAAAUAAGCAAAAAAUAUCCAUUAUAGGAGUUGCUGAAUGGGAAAGGAGAAAGAAAGGAGCAGAAAACUUAUUUAAACAAAUAAUGGCUGAAAACUUCCCAAAUAUUGGGAGGUAUAUGAAUACCCAGAUUUAUGAAGCUCCCAGGACCCCAAACAAGAUCAAUGCAGAGAAGAUGGCCCUGGAACACACUAUAAUCAAAUUGUCAAAAGUGAAAGACAAAGAGAAUUUUGAAAGCAGCAAGAAAAGAGCUAGUUGUUACAUACGAGGCAGUGGCCAUAAGUCUGUCAGUGGAUUUCUCUGCAGGCCAGGAAGGUGUAAGAUAAUACAUUCAAAGUUACAAAAUUAAUAGAACAACUGGCAGCCAAGAAUACUACACCCAUAAAGCUGUCCUUUAGAAAUGAAGAAGAGCUAAGGAGAUAUUUAGACAAACAAAAGCUGAAGUUCAUCACUUCUAGAUGUGUCUUACAAGAAAUGCCAAAGAAAGUGCUUCAAGUAGAAACAAAAGGACACUAAUGAAAAUAUGAAAACAUAGGACAGUAUAAAACUCACUGGUAAAGGUAAAUAUAUAGCCAAAUUUAGAAUACUGUAAUACUGUCAUAGUAGUAUGUAAAUUUUAACUUUAGUAUAACAGUUAAAACACAAAUAUUUAAGAAGCUAUAGCCACAAUAACUUGUUAAUGAAUAUACAAUAUAAAAAGAUAUAAAGAGUAACAUAAAUAGCACAAAUGUGGUGGGAGAGAGAGAAAAACUACAGUUUUUGUAUGUGAUUUAAAUUAAGUUGUUAUUAGCUUAAAAUAUACUGUUACAACUCUAAGAUGUUUUAUGUAAGCCUAAUGGUAACCACAAAGCAAAAUAUUUAGUAGAUACACAAAAGAUAAAGAGAAAGGAAUCAACUCAUUCCGCUACAAAAAAUCAACCUGUCAUAAAAUAAGAUAGAGAGAAAGAAAGAAACACAGGAACUACAAAACAGUGAAAAAACAAGCAAUAAAAUGGCAAUAGUAAGUCCUCACUUCUCAAUAAUUACUGUAAAUGUAAAUUGGUUAAACUAUCCAAUCAAAAAACACAGAGUAGCUGAAUGGAAAAAGAAUCCAACAACAGCUUGCCUACAGGGUGCUGACUCUGAUUUUAAAAACACAUAAUGGCUGAAAAUGAAGAGAUGAAAAAAUAUAUUUCAUACAAAUGGGAAACAAAAGAGAGCAUAGAUGAUUAUACUUUAUCAAACAAAGUAGACUUUAAGUCAAAAAUCUGUUACAAGAUAAAAAGAAGGUCACUGUAUAAUGAUAAAGGGGUCAAUUUUUCGAAAGAAUGUAACAAUUGUAAAUAUAUAUGCACUCAACGUGGAAGCAUCUAAAGAAAAAGCAAAAUUAGGAAAAUUGAUGAGAAAAUAGAUAGUAAUGCAAUAAUAAUAAGGGACUUCAAUACCUACCCACUUUUAGCAAUGGAGAGAUUAUCAAGACAGAAAAUCAAUAAGGAAAUUGAAGAAUUGAAUAAUAUUAUAGUCCAAAAGGACAUAACAGAAUACACAGAACAUUCCAUCCAACAGCAGCAGAAUAUGCAUUAUUUUCAGGUACACACAUAAUAUCCUCAGAAUAGAUCAUGUGUUGGGUGACAAAAAUGUCUUAACAAAUUUAAAAUAUUAAAAUCAUGUCAAG